CGGGAUUGUGGUUAGUUUCCUUUAUUGGAAGUUAGUCGCGAGAACUUGUCCAAACCUUAUCAUUUAGAGGAAGGUGAAGUCGUAACAAGGUUUCCGUAGGUGAACCUGCGGAAGGAUCA
rnacentral:rRNA from 2 species